rnacentral:rRNA from 1 species
CAAUCCAUGAGUACAGUGGCGACCGGGUGAGUAACACGUGACUAACCUACCUUCGAGUGGGGGAUAACCUCGGGAAACCGAGGCUAAUACCGCAUAACAUCGAGAGAUCAAAGGAGCAAUUCGCUUGAAGAGGGGGUCGCGGCUGAUUAGCUAGUUGGCGGGGUAAUGGCCCACCAAGGCGAAGAUCGGUAGCCGGCCUGAGAGGGCGCACGGCCACACUGGAACUGAAACACGGUCCAGACUCCUACGGGAGGCAGCAGUGGGGAAUUUUGCGCAAUGGGGGAAACCCUGACGCAGCAACGCCGCGUGGAGGAUGACGCCCCUUGGGGUGUAAACUCCUUUCGACCAAGACGAUAAUGACGGUACUGGUGGAAGAAGCACCGGCUAACUCUGUGCCAGCAGCCGCGGUAAU